UACGUAGGGGGCUAGCGUUGUCCGGAUUUAUUGGGCGUAAAGAGCGUGUAGGCGGCCAGGUAGGUCUGCUGUGAAAACUCGAGGCUCAACCUCGAGACGUCGGCGGAAACCAUCUGGCUAGAGUCCGGAAGAGGAGAGUGGAAUUCCUGGUGUAGCGGUGGAAUGCGCAGAUAUCAGGAAGAACACCCGUGGCGAAGGCGGCUCUCUGGAACGGUACUGACGCUGAGACGCGAAAGCGUGGGGAGCGAACAGG
rnacentral:rRNA from 1 species